rnacentral:siRNA from 1 species
AGGCUUUUAGGAUAAGGUUGCGGU